rnacentral:rRNA from 1 species
GGGAUUGCCUCAGUAACGGCGAGUGAAGCGGCAACAGCUCAAAUUUGAAAUCUGGCCCCCCCGGGGUCCGAGUUGUAAUUUGCAGAGGGUGCUUCGGGCGAGGGCGCGGUCUAAGUCCAUUGGAACAUGGCGUCGGAGAGGGUGAGAAUCCCGUAUGAGACCGCGCGCCGAGCCCAUGUGAAGCCUCUUCGACGAGUCGAGUUGUUUGGGAAUGCAGCUCAAAAUGGGUGGUAUAUUUCAUCUAAAGCUAAAUACCGGCUGGAGACCGAUAGCGCACAAGUAGAGUGAUCGAAAGAUGAAAAGCACUUUGGAAAGAGAGUCAAACAGUACGUGAAAUUGUUGAAAGGGAAGCGCGUGCAACCAGACCUGCCCGGGGGCGAUCAGCCGCUGUUCUCAGCGGUGCACUCGCCCCCCGAUCAGGCCAGCAUCGGUUCCGGCGGUCGGACAAAGGGCCGGGGAAUGUAGCUCCCCUCGGGGAGUCUUAUAGCCCCGGGUGCAAUGCGGCCAGCCGGGACCGAGGACCGCGCUUCGGCUAGGAUGCUGGCGUAAUGGUUGC